CAAAUCAGGUAGGACUACCCGCUGAACUUAAGCAUAUCAAUAAGCGGAGGAAAAGAAACUAACAAGGAUUCCCCUAGUAACUGCGAGUGAAGCGGGAAAAGCUCAAAUUUAAAAUCUGGCAGUCUUUGGCUGUCCGAGUUGUAAUCUAGAGAAGCAUUAUCCGCGCUGGAC
rnacentral:rRNA from 1 species